GACACUCCCUGACCGCGUAUGAAAGUACGUUUUCACCUUCGGGAGACAGGGAGACAGGUGGUGCAUGGUUGUCGUCAGCUCGUGUCGUGAGAUGUUGGGUUAAGUCCCGCAACGAGCGCAACCCCUACGUUUAGUUGCUAACAGGUGAAGCUGAGCACUCUAGACGAACUGCCGUUGACAAAACGGAGGAAGGUGGGAUGACGUCAAAUCAUCAUGCCCCUUAUGUUCUGGGCUACACACGUGCUACAAUGGCCGGUACAGACGGAGGCGAAGCCGCGAGGCGGAGCAAAUCCGAAAAAGCCGGUCUCAGUUCGGAUUGCAGGCUGCAAUUCGCCUGCAUGAAGUCGGAAUCGCUAGUAAUCGCAGGUCAGCAUACUGCGGUGAAUACGUUCCCGGGCCUU
rnacentral:rRNA from 1 species